rnacentral:lncRNA from 10 species
CCGGAAAGCGCCGGGACCCCUCGCGGGGCCUCUGAGCGGCGCGGGCGGACCCGAGCCCCCAGCCCGCUGGCGCCGCUGCCCGCCAGGCCCCGGGGGCGGCGGCCAAGAUGUCCGUGCCUAUGAAAAAAUGAGGGCUUCCAGACUGUGCUGAUGUGAGCCCCGCCAUCCGUUCUGGUUCAGAGCAUAAUCGUCUCGUCUUCAGAAAGAAGGAAGACAGAACAUGCCUGCCAAGCCCUUCCUCUCUUCUGUUCUGCUCUCCUGGAAAGUUCUGGACUUCUCUGGCCCAGGGCCUCAGGGGACUGGCCAGCCCUGCUCCUGUGGGCACUGGGCAGAGGGACAAGGCGGACCACCUGAGCCUGCUGGAGGGCCGGUAUCCCAGGGCAGUAGUGAUUAGGGAAUGUCACUCUGGCCACAUCCCAGCCUGGGCGGGCCUCUAUGGGGAGGUCCCCGUUUGAUUUGGUUUGGUUGUCCACAGUCAGAGCCAAGCUCUGGGCAUGGAGUCUGGGAUGGCACCCUGACCCCUUGCCUUACAGGACUUUGGGCAGCCUUCUUUGGCACUGUGCCUCAUCUGUAACAAGAGAGGAACAGCGGGCUGGGUAGGACUUGGACAGAUAGGCACUGUCGUGGGGACCUGCAGCCUGGCCACACCAUCACGGGCUCUGAGUCAUCUCCUACCCUCUCCCUUGUAGUCACAGCCCAGGAGAAUUCUGCUGGGGGUGGGCAGAGGUCUUUGCCAUCUGCCCCCUACGUGGCUGGCUGGCAGAUCACCGUGGCUCUCUCUCCUGGGACCUUGGGCAGUGUGUGAGGUGGUGGGGCCAAGAGGAGAAUUCAUUUUUGGAACAG